rnacentral:lncRNA from 1 species
AUGCUACUCAUGACUUCUGGAACCUAUAACCUCCUUCUCUCUUGGACUGAUACAAUGAUCUUCACUUUGAGAGAAGAAACAGACAUUUCUAACAGUAGAGAGACUUCACAAGUACUGGUGCUGCUCCAGCUUGGUGUCGAGGAAGGCAGUUCUAAAUGGAUUCUGUAUCCAGGAGAGUAUAUUCCAACGUUGAGCACGUUAGCUGCAUGCACAAACAAGAUGAAGACAACAAGCACUCCAGAAGUGAAACAGAGCCAUGCUGCCAGAAUUUCUUCCACCUACUCCAGCUGA